GUGUGUGUGUGUGUGUGUGUGUGUGUACAAACACUAUAUAUAGAGACACCUCUAUAUAUAGUGUUUGUAUACUAUAUACAUUAGGCUG